CGCUUAUCAAGAAAGGCAGAGGGAAAUGGCCCGAUGAAGCCUUGACAACCUGUUUUGUAUGCCCCCGGGCAUAUGAAGUAAGGUGCCAAAUCCAGCCCGUGAUUACGGGACAGAUAAGUC
rnacentral:ncRNA from 1 species